ensembl:lincRNA
CGGCUUUCUUUCAUACACAAACUUUGGCCAGAAAAGGCGUUUUAACCUGAGGGCAAAGAUGUAGUGCGUCCACAGUUCCCAUCUUCAACUCUUUAGAUUUAGAAUAACAGUUAUUUAAGCAUCGGACCUGUCUUCAGAGACUCACUUUGUGACACAGCUGCGGCCGGACUUGACUUGAUCUGGGCGCCAGGAUCGGUCCCACCACAGGGCUCCGGGCGUUUUGUUCCCAGCGGAUCAGGGCGGGUGUGUUGCCGGAGUCGCCUUCUAUUGGCUACACUCCUGGGGACUGGUUGGCCUUUCCGACGCCUGAUUGGACAGAACUGCCCUCUGUACGCCGACAUUAUUGGAGGGCGCUGGAGAAGGGGGCGGAGUGGGUUCCCCUGGAUUCUUGACCGGGCGCGCUAGUCCGCGGAGCCAGGAGCCGGGCGCGGGAUCGGAGCUGCGCGGGCUGCUGCGGAGGGACGGUGUCCUAGCCAAUGGGGUCUUUAAGGCGAACGCGAGGCUGGGGCCGGUGGCCGACCAGCCGCGUCUCACAGAGGCAGUCCACGCUUUUCCCCCGGCGGUGGCGGCUCCGAGGCAGUAUCUGUCAACGCUCCUCUUUUCCCCUCCUCCUUCGGCCGGGCCGGGCUCCGCCGGCGGCGGCCGAGAGGACGCGGGACCCGGCGCGGUGAGCCCAUCAGCUGUCAGGCGAGCGGCGUAGCUGCCGGAGGGCGGCGAGAGACACACAAAGAACGCGGUGGGCGGCGGCGGCAAAAGGGGGCGGCAAAUUCGGGACUGCAGCUCCUCGCCUCGGCUGCCUGUGCCACCGCCGCCCGGGCUUGGUCCGAGGCGGCGCAGACAAUGCGGCCGGGCUCGGCCCCGCGCGCCCCAGAGUGCAGGGCGCCCGCGCCUCCCCGACCCCAACUUGACCGUCUCCCGGCUUGCCCAGCCCCCUCCCGGGAUAGGGGCGCCCCCUCGCUUCGGCGGCCAGCGAAGGAAGUCGGUCCGCGGCCGCGGAGCCCGGCAACUUGCGAGCCGGGAAAAGUUUGCGGCGCCUCCGCGGGGCGGCGCGACGCGGCCCGCCCCUCGGGUCCGCGGUCACCGCGGGUGACUUUCUCGACUCGUCGUCAGUCGAGGCCGCAGCGCGGCCGGCGGGGACUGCGGGGAGGGCCGGAGUCCGUCCGAGGGCUCCCGCACCUCGGGCUGCGGCCCUGGAGAGUUGCUGUAGAAGAAGGAAAAGAGAGGAAGACAACACAGGAGAAGAUAAGUAGCUGUGGACACAAUGGAAGGUCACAUUGCUAAGUAGUUGUUGAGCAGAGGGAAAAGAACCCCAGCAGCUACUAUUAACCAGUGUCUGGAAUAUGUUCCUGGCAUUUCACCUACACUCUGCAAUCCUUCCAAGAAACCCAGAAAGCAGGUAUUGCCAACAAGAGACCAGACACCCGGAGAAUUCACACUACUUGCCCAAGACCACACAGCCAAUGAUAGAUGAUGAUGCUACUUGUACCAAAGCCCAUCUGGCUUCAAAGCCUGCUCUUUACCCAUUAAACAAAAUGUCUCUCUGCCCUUAUCUUUUUUUCCCCUUCAGGGCUUUUUCUUGAACUUCUCUUCCUCACAACAGUUAAAUCAUUCCUUUAAAGAUGUCAGACCACCUCAGUGUUCUAAAGUGAGUUGUCAGACCUCAUUUGGUUCACCUUGUCAACCAUUAUCCUUUGUUUAUUCAUUCUUCUAACAUCUUUCUUUUCAAAGCUGAGAGUAGAUAAAAC